AGAAGUUUAAACUAAAAUUGACAGAAUUUGAAGGAUUGGGUAAAACUGAAGAAAUGUGCCAAGGUUUGUACUCUUUAGUUACUAGGUCAUUUAUUUAUGAUUAACUAGACAGCAACACAGAGGUUGGAUUGGAUGUGAGUUUAACAGAAGUAAAGGCAUUCUUUAUGAUCAUAUGGCAGCAAAUUUUUUUGUUAGACAUUUAAGGGGAACAGAGUAGAGGAAUCUUUUAUCAGUUUUUGCAUGUUAGAAUAUUAAUCUAAUUCUGUAUUUAAGUUAAUUGAUAACUGGAAAUUCUUUUGAUGCUGUAAAUACUAUUCAUAACACUGGGAAUAAAGUUAAUAGUUUUAAUUGGCUCAUUAGGUUUCUAGGAGAAGGGAAAAAUGAGAAAUAAGAAGAGGAAUCAUAAGAACAGUUACAAAUUUCUCUUUGCCUUCUUUUCAUCAGAAACUUUUCUUGGUUGUCUUUGCCGUUUAAUAUCUGCAUAUAUGUAGGCUUCUUCUACAAAUGAAUCUUUAGAAUAUAGAGAUAAUUCUCUUGUUUUGGAAAUUUAUUUUUCUUGUACAUUUUUUAUGCCUGCGAUAUUCUGCAAGAGUUUCUUGGACCAUGUGUCUAAUGUGCUCGUAACUUUUCUUUUGAUGGAGUAGGUGACUUCAUGUAAGUUGUGGCGGCAAGUAGGGGAAUCCUUUAAACCCCCAAAGUGAGAAACAGUGUGUGUUUGGUUACUUUUAAGUUCAAUAAACCAAUACAUGUUGUUAUAUUAUUGAUGUACUAGCUGCUUGUUAUGUGUGCAAUUAACAUGGAGGCAUUGGCAAUCAUAACAUUUUUAAAAAAAAAAAAAAAAAGAUCUUGAAUAUGGGAACUGGGGUUGGUAGAUUUUACGGCUCCAGCUGAAUAUCUAUAAAUACUUGCUCAGCCAGUCAGCCCAUCCAUGCCUGAACCAAAAUUUCCUUGGCAACACACUAGAAAUAAAAGAAUUUUUGGUAGCUUGGAGAGAGGCCAAUAAGAUGAUUCUUGAGGACCUCAUAUUCUACGCCAUUGUCUUUGUUCUCUCGUACUUCCUUCUUAGUAAAAUCUUGUACAACAAAUUAUAUGGCCACCUUCCUCCAAGUCCAUUGGCCUUACCAAUCAUCGGCCACCUCCAUCUCCUAGACCCUCUCAUGCACCAAGCCUUACACAAGCUUUCCUCUCGCUAUGGCCCCUUGAUGUACCUUCGCCUUGGUUCAGUCCAGUCUCUUGUAGUCUCCAACCCUGAAAUGGCUAAAGAAUUUCUCAAGACGCAUGACCGUACAUUCUCUUAUCGCAUAUUCAACCAAGCCAUCGAUUACCUUACUUACAAUGCUGCGACUCCCCUGGCACCCUAUGGCUCUCUCUGGAUUUUCAUUAAAAAACUGAGCAUAUCUGAGCUCCUAGGCAGCCAUACCCUUAACAAAUUCCUUCCUAUAAGAAACCAAGAGUUGCAUUCUUUUCUUGGACUAGUAUUCGACAAGGCCAAAGCAGGCGAGAGCAUUAAUGUCACAAAGGAGAUAUUAAGAUUUACCAACAGCAUAAUCUCUCAGAUGAUACUAAGUACAAGGCGUUCACUAGAGGCCGAUGAGGAGGAAGAGGCCAUAAAACUGGUGCGUGAGGUGACAGAGGUCUUUGGACAAUUUAAUGUUUCAGAUUUUAUAUGGUUUCUAAAGAACUGGGAUUUGCAAGGGUUUCGAAGGAAGCUGGAGGACAUCCGCGGGCGUUAUGAUGUAUUGUUAGAGAAAAUCAUCACAAACCGAGAACAAGAAAGAAAGAAGAAGAGCUACAAAAGUGAAAAUGGAUCAGUGAAGGAUUUUCUUGACCUUCUGCUUGAUAUUAUGGAAGACGAAAACUCUGAGAUGAAGUUAAGCAGAGAUCAUUUGAAAGGAUUAGUUAUGGUAAGUCUUAAUAUUAUUUUUUAAAUAAAAAGAUCAAUCAAAAUUUUAAAAAUAUGUAAGUGUGUCUAUUCCUAAGAAGUCAAUUUGCAUACCAAACACAUUUAUAUUAUACUUCUCAGAAAGUAAGUUCUCUUCAAGCCCAGGAAGUAGAGUAUUUUGAACUAAAUAGGCCUUAACAUCAUGUAUAAAAUGAUGUUAAAAAUGUGUUGUUAAAUACUAGAUUUGUUGCGGUGCACUAAUCAUGGAAGAAUGCGGUUAUAUAUGUGUAGGACUACCUGACAGCUGGCACAGAUUCAACAGCAGUGUCAAUUGAAUGGGCAAUAGCAGAGAUGAUCAAUCAUCCAAUGGAGCUGAAAAAAGCAAGGGAAGAGCUUGAAAGAGUUGUAGGGAAAGACAGGCUAGUACAAGAAUCAGAUGUUCCAAAUCUUCCAUACCUCCAAGCCAUCAUAAAGGAAACAUUCAGGCUUCACCCACCAAUUCCGCUGAUCCUUAGGAGUUCCAUUGAAGAAUGCAAAGUGAACGACUACACCAUCCCUAACGGCACCUUGCUUAUAGUAAACCUGUGGUCCAUUGGCAGGGAUCCUGAAACCUGGAAGAAUCCAUUAGAGUUUCGGCCUGAAAGAUUCUUGCCAACAAGAAGCGAUAAUCAAGGUUACUGGGUAGGUCCUUUAGAUGUUAGAGGCCAACAUUAUCAAUUACUGCCAUUUGGUACUGGAAGGAGGAAUUGCACUGGCAUGUCCUCAGCUAUGCAGAUUUUGCCCAUCACAUUGGCAGCAAUGAUUCAGUGCUUCGAUUGGAAGGUGGUGAAUUCACGGUCACCGGAAGUUGACGGAGAUAAUGUGGUUGAUAUGACUGAAAAGCCUGGAAUCACAGCUCCAUUAGCCCACGAACUUGUGUGUGUUCCAA
rnacentral:misc_RNA from 1 species